rnacentral:lncRNA from 1 species
AGUAUUUCAUGUGACUGGCUUCAUUCUCAUGAAACUAAACCACAUAUAUUUAACUAUCUCCUUAAGCUUAGCUUAAAACCAAAUAUAUAUAAUUGUUACUGGUGGCCAAAGAAAUCAGUUCAUUUUGGGUCACUCAUUUUAGCUGAGUGGACAUUCCUAAUGGAUUAAAAAACAAAACACAGUGCUUUAAAAUGCACUUAAUUUUUUUUUUUCCCCCGCGGUGGUGGUGACUCUGGGCUUCUUCUGCAGUGCUUUAAGCUAAGCUCCCCAGAACUAGUGUUGAUAUUGUUUCUUUAACAUUAAUCUUCAGUGACAUAAUUAUUUCUUUUUAAAUAAUCAGUAUGCUAAGCAUUAUAGGACUGGGAAGCUACUGACUGAAAAGAGAUGUGCCGUAAUGAAGGUACUCCUUUUUUUAGAUAAUUUCGGCUGCUUAUCAGAACAGAAGCAGCUGUAUUUUGGACUUACUUAGAGUUGCUAUUUAAUGCACCAUGAAAAAGCAACAAGUGCUCCACCAGAAAAAUCAUGUUUUGUUGAAAGAAGUAAAGCAAAAUGAGUUUCAGCUCUAUACCACGGAAACUCACAAAAGUAGGGGAAAGAUCAACUUGAGAGUAUAUUUUUCGGUGUUCGAAGUCAGUUAAAAAAGCAAAUUUGUACUUUGAACUUAGUGUCUAUUGCCUCAGAGUAAAAAUAUUUUUAGAAUCCUUAUCAGUCAGAAAAUUCUCUUCUUCAAACAAAAUGAACUGGAAUGUAGAGCUAAAAUAACCCCAUUUUAGUUUGUGGAAUGGCUGUUGAGCCUUUAUUUUUACAAGCAAAUGGCAAACGCUUGCUCCAAUGUAUAGCUGAUGCAAAUUAAGCACAUACUCUGUUUCAUAAAUGAAGGGGGAAUUAUUGGAAACACUCUUGCACUGAUCAGUAAAAACCGAUUACCAUCAAAGAAGGGCCUGAUUACUAACCACCAUCUUAGUGUUUAGCUGUACCGUCUGGCCGGCUCAGAGGGGAAAAUUUGCUGAGCUUAAAAAAUGUUUAUUCUGACUUUCAACUCAUGCAUGUAUAGAACACAGAUGAGGAAACAUCUGAUGUCCUUUGGAUUCUUGUUGUUAAACAAACGUUAACUCAUCUUCAAGCAAAAAUUUAGUCGUUUUUCUUUUUUCCCCCUCACUGAUUUGGUUUCUUAAGCUAUUGAGUUACAAGCACUAUGGAAAUAAGCACUAAAAAAAAACCUAAGGGUGAUUAGAGCCCUUAAAAAUAUCUGAAGGAUAAUGCUGACCUCAUGUUUUUUCACAUACACUUUGAUCUAGGUGGAAUUUUAUUAUUGUAAUUUAACUCAUGUGGCGUGGAGGCCACAUUCAAGGCACAGACCUGAGUGCUUACUGGAGACAGAUGAACUCAGGACUUGCCUGUGCCUGGCUGCAGCACUUUUGCUCUAACUCAUGCCUUGUCUAUGGAUGGCACUGCUUUUCCCACCGUUUAGUGUUGGUUAAUUAUUGCCAACCUGUAGAGCAAAUGACUCUGCUUAACAGUCAUUUUCCCUGAAAACCCUUCCUUGAUUAUUCAAGAUUAAGUCCUUAGUGUCACAAGUUUACCCAUUCCAUAGCACGUACAGUUGUCAUCAUGAUUUCUUAUUCGAUUACCAAUCUUACCUCCCCAAGCCUGUAAACAUAAUUCAGUGACUGCAUUUUUAUUCACCACUGUAUUCCAGGUCCUAAAACUAACCCUGACACAUACCGGCCACUCGGUAAAUAUGGGUUGAAUGAAUGAAUGAACAAAUGGACAGAGAAAUGAAUGAGACACCUUCUCUGUCCUCAUUUCAGUUUAAAUUUAGGAACAAGGCAUGAGUAAAAGUGUGAGGAGACAAAGCAGAGGAAGGCAAGUGCUGAAAGUUAUGAUCGCGUGCAGUGAUGGCCAUUAAGAUGAUCUUCGUACAGGAAUUCAUACAGGAAUUUUUUUAAAGAUAAAUGCUGGCUUAUGCAGGCUCUGAAGACUUAUUUUUUAUAUCCAUUCUUAAUUAAACUAAUGUUGAAAAUAGUACACAUUUAUGGUAAAAAGCCUUCAGUCCUCUUUGGGGGUCAUUUAUUUGCUUGCUCUCUGGGAAGCUUCUUUCAUAAAAGGAUGCCCUUUUACUAGAUCCCAACUGGGAGCUUUAUGGGAUUAUUUUUUUCCUACUUAACAAAAGUGGGAUUUAAACUCUAAUUUCCAAAAACAUAGUGGCUAGCUAAAAUUGGUAUUGAUUUAAUGUUCUGGGUCAAUUUUAAGUGAUAAAUUAACAUUAGCAAAAAAAGAAGUUUCUAAAUUCUGUAAAUCACAUGGGAUUUUUCAUCGGCUCAUUCCCUUACAAUCUUUUUCUCAGGGAUAAGGUUUUCUAAGUCAAUAUUUUCCCAAAUGCAUGCCCUUUUGUCUUCCAUUAAAUAUGGUAGUCUUUGUUUCUUCAAUGGCCAUGUGAGAACAGAAGGAAAAUUUCUUCUCAGAGAAGACAGAGCAAAGUAAUAUUCUUGCCAAAAGUUAUCACAGUUUAAUAGCAAGAAGGAAUGUACACGUCUCUAAACAAAAUGUGCAAUGCUUUCUGAUGCUGACACCAUUUAUUUAGUCUUAUUAAAUAGCUGGUAAAAUGAUCCAAGUUUCAGAGAAACACAAGCUGUGAGUGGCUGCUGCACGUGACAAAAAAAAAAAAAAAGACAGCCCCAAAAAGCAGCAGGGAGAAGAUGUGCGCAGAGUCUGGGAGGAUCACCUUUCUCCACAGCUUUCCCUUCCAAACCUCCAAACCCAGGCACUGCUUUCCUCUUGCACUCCUCUUCUCCUGAUAUCCAUUCAUUCACCUUAUUUCUACACUCUUACCCCUUCCAUAUUUUUAAUUAACUUUUCUCUUUGUGCUUGCACACUUGCUUUGCUUUGCUUUCAAUCUAUAGUUAUUUUAUGGGUGGCUUGGCACCUCAACCAGAUGGGAAUUAAGUGGAAGGCAGAAGUUGGCUUGCACACACAACCUCUAAAUAAAUGCAGGCCUGGGAAGGAUGAUUCAUGCUUUACCUGUAUUCUUUCAGCUGCAGUCAGUGUUUUUCCAAUCUUGGUAGGCACCAGCAUCACCUGGAAAAUUGUUAAAGCAAAACAUGCUUUGACUUGACUCCAGACAUACUGGGGCUUAAAUCUCUGUAUUUAUUUGCCAAGUAGUUCAAAAUUUAGUAGUUGGGGGAAUGGGAUCACCAACCAUUAUGGUUUGCCAAGGAACGAAGGAUUUCCUGAGCUGUGUGCUAAAGCCUGAAUACUUCUGAGUAAAUUGAGACAUUUAGUUACCCUAUUUAGGGUUGAAGAUGAGGGCCAAAAUAGUGCAUGCAUCUGUCCUGCAACUCUCUAUCUAGUUCUCAGCACUUCAACUUAAGGCUAAUAUUAGACCAAGACCCACUUCCUCUAGAAAUAAAUCCUUUUCUCCCCCAUACUUUCUUGGUCAAAUAAGGUUACAGACUUAUUUGGCACUUACUUAAGUAGUUUUUUUUUUCAUCCUUAGGAUGGUUCUCAAUUUGUUGACUGAUGAAAUCAUAAAACGUAACGUAACCCUCUAGGUAGCAGAGGAUGUGCUUUGUAACAUCAUCCAGCACUCCUUGUUGCAUUAUCCUACAGUCUCAGUAAUCUGCAUUGUCUCACAGAUCAAGCCAUUUGCUCAUUCAGUCUGUUCUGUGCCAAACAUAUUGAUAACACAUACACUGAAGGACUGCUGGCAUUGCCCCUCCCCAGAAUAAGCAAACAAGUCAUCUUUAAAAGCAAGUUGUUUCAGCCACUUUGAUAGAAAUUAAGUUGCAUACAAGGUCACAAAGUACAUCAGUGAACUAACUGGAAACACAACCCAACAAGGCCCACUCCCAAGCCUGAGCACUUUACUGGAUCACGCUUCCUUCCUCGGUGAAAGGCUUCCCACGGCAGGAAGAACCGGAGAGCAAGCCUCUAAAUUAUACAUGACUGUUUGUCUCAUUUUCACUCCGUGGCUAAUUGAAGACACAGGGGAGUGCUGCUUUUUUGGCUUCAUCUCUCAUCGCAUCUCAUUUGUCUCACACGUGUCGGGGAGUGCACUCUGCAGGUUAGCUUUAUGAAGGGUUGAAUGGAAUUUGGUGAGCUUUGAGGAGUCCCAGGAUUACAAGUUCUUUGUCUUGGUUCACAACAAGCUGUGCAGUCCCCUUUUGUUUGUUUCCUCAUUUGCCAUUUUAAAAUAAAGUAAAUACCUAAUGCUAGAUGACGAGUUAGUGGGUGCAGUGCACCAGCAUGGCACAUGUAUACAUAUGUAACUAACCUGCACAAUGUGCACAUGUACCCUAAAACUUAAAGUAUAAUAAUAAUAAAAAAAGUCAAGCAUAGGAGAUCCACAGUUGAUAGGAAAG